AAAUGCAGCCCAUGCCAUAACUGCUACACAACCAGUUCUGCAGUUCUGACUUCUAUUUUUUCCUUCAUCAGAGAUUAAACUAUGUGAACUCUUUGUUUCUUACAAGAAACAAAACAGGCCUCCAGUGGACAUUCAUCUGCAGAUUAAAAAUGAGCUUUUUUAAGCGACGCCGUCCCAAACCUGAGUUUUACACCUUUUUGGUUGAUAAACAAGUGAAAAUUGGAGAAGACGUGCUCCUGCAGUGUGAGAUAAACACAGGAAAAGUGAACGUGAUAUGGGAAAAGAACGGCCACAAACUGGAUCGUGUGGAAGGCAAACACAACACGGGAAAAACUGGCACAAUGAUUUAUCUGGAAAUCAGGAAUGCUGAAGCAGGAGAUGAAGCAAACUACACUGUGAUCAUAGAGAAUUCAUCAGGCCGUGUCUCGUGCAAUGCCAAUGUCACUGUUGGUAUGUAAGAAUUCUGACUUGCAUGAGGAAAUAAC
rnacentral:lncRNA from 1 species